UUUGGUUAAGUUAGAAAGGGCGCACGGUGGAUGCCUUGACACUAGGAGUCGAUGAAGGACGGGACUAACGCCGAUAUGCUUCGGGGAGCUGUAAGUAAGCUUUGAUCCGAAGAUUUCCGAAUGGGGAAACCCACUAUACGUAAUGGUAUGGUAUCCUUACCUGAAUACAUAGGGUAUGGAAGACAGACCCAGGGAACUGAAACAUCUAAGUACCUGGAGGAAGAGAAAGCAAAUGCGAUUUCCUGAGUAGCGGCGAGCGAAACGGAAUCUAGCCCAAACCAAGAGGCUUGCCUCUUGGGGUUGUAGGACAUUCUAUACGGAGUUACAAAGGAACGAGGUAGACGAAGCGACCUGGAAAGGUCCGUCGUAGAGGGUAACAACCCCGUAGUCGAAACUUCGUUCUCUCUUGAAUGUAUCCUGAGUACGGCGGAACACGUGAAAUUCCGUCGGAAUCUGGGAGGACCAUCUCCCAAGGCUAAAUACUCCCUAGUGAUCGAUAGUGAACCAGUACCGUGAGGGAAAGGUGAAAAGCACCCCGGAAGGGGAGUGAAAGAGAUCCUGAAACCGUGUGCCUACAAAUAGUCAGAGCCCGUUAAUGGGUGAUGGCGUGCCUUUUGUAGAAUGAACCGGCGAGUUACGAUCCCGUGCGAGGUUAAGUUGAAGAGACGGAGCCGCAGCGAAAGCGAGUCUGAAUAGGGCGUUUAGUACGUGGUCGUAGACCCGAAACCAGGUGAUCUACCCAUGUCCAGGGUGAAGUUCAGGUAACACUGAAUGGAGGCCCGAACCCACGCACGUUGAAAAGUGCGGGGAUGAGGUGUGGGUAGCGGAGAAAUUCCAAUCGAACCUGGAGAUAGCUGGUUCUCCCCGAAAUAGCUUUAGGGCUAGCCUUAAGUGUAAGAGUCUUGGAGGUAGAGCACUGAUUGAACUAGGGGUCCUCAUCGGAUUACCGAAUUCAGUCAAACUCCGAAUGCCAAUGACUUAUCCUUAGGAGUCAGACUGCGAGUGAUAAGAUCCGUAGUCAAGAGGGAAACAGCCCAGAUCGCCAGCUAAGGUCCCAAAGUGUGUAUUAAGUGGAAAAGGAUGUGGAGUUGCUUAGACAACUAGGAUGUUGGCUUAGAAGCAGCCACCAUUUAAAGAGUGCGUAAUAGCUCACUAGUCGAGUGACUCUGCGCCGAAAAUGUACCGGGGCUAAAUACACCACCGAAGCUGCGAAUUGAUACCAAUGGUAUCAGUGGUAGGGGAGCGUUCUAAGUGCAGUGAAGUCAGACCGGAAGGACUGGUGGAGCGCUUAGAAGUGAGAAUGCCGGUAUGAGUAGCGAAAGACGGGUGAGAAUCCCGUCCACCGAAUGCCUAAGGUUUCCUGAGGAAGGCUCGUCCGCUCAGGGUUAGUCAGGACCUAAGCCGAGGCCGACAGGCGUAGGCGAUGGACAACAGGUUGAUAUUCCUGUACCACCUCUUUAUCGUUUGAGCAAUGGAGGGACGCAGAAGGAUAGAAGAAGCGUGCGAUUGGUUGUGCACGUCCAAGCAGUUAGGCUGAUAAGUAGGCAAAUCCGCUUAUCGUGAAGGCUGAGCUGUGAUGGGGAAGCUCCUUAUGGAGCGAAGUCUUUGAUUCCCCGCUGCCAAGAAAAGCUUCUAGCGAGAUAAAAGGUGCCUGUACCGCAAACCGACACAGGUAGGCGAGGAGAGAAUCCUAAGGUGUGCGAGAGAACUCUGGUUAAGGAACUCGGCAAAAUGACCCCGUAACUUCGGGAGAAGGGGUGCUUUCUUAACGGAAAGCCGCAGUGAAUAGGCCCAAGCGACUGUUUAGCAAAAACACAGGUCUCUGCGAAGCCGUAAGGCGAAGUAUAGGGGCUGACACCUGCCCGGUGCUGGAAGGUUAAGGAGAGGGGUUAGCGUAAGCGAAGCUCUGAACUGAAGCCCCAGUAAACGGCGGCCGUAACUAUAACGGUCCUAAGGUAGCGAAAUUCCUUGUCGGGUAAGUUCCGACCCGCACGAAAGGUGUAACGAUUUGGGCACUGUCUCAACCAGAGACUCGGUGAAAUUAUAGUACCUGUGAAGAUGCAGGUUACCCGCGACAGGACGGAAAGACCCCGUGGAGCUUUACUGUA
rnacentral:rRNA from 1 species